UACGUAGGGGGCAAGCGUUGUCCGGAUUUAUUGGGCGUAAAGGGCUCGUAGGCGGUCUGUUGCGUCGGGAGUGAAAACUCAGGGCUUAACCCUGAGCCUGCUUCCGAUACGGGCAGACUAGAGGUAUGCAGGGGAGAACGGAAUUCCUGGUGUAGCGGUGAAAUGCGCAGAUAUCAGGAGGAACACCGGAGGCGAAGGCGGUUCUCUGGGCAUUACCUGACGCUGAGGAGCGAAAGUGUGGGGAGCGAACAGG
rnacentral:rRNA from 1 species